UGGGGAAUUUUGGACAAUGGGCGAAAGCCUGAUCCAGCAAUGCCGCGUGUGUGAAGAAGGCCUUCGGGUUGUAAAGCACUUUUGUCCGGAAAGAAAUCCUUGGCUCUAAUACAGUCGGGGGAUGACGGUACCGGAAGAAUAAGCACCGGCUAACUACGUGCCAGCAGCCGCGGUAAUACGUAGGGUGCAAGCGUUAAUCGGAAUUACUGGGCGUAAAGCGUGCGCAGGCGGUUUGCUAAGACCGAUGUGAAAUCCCCGGGCUCAACCUGGGAACUGCAUUGGUGACUGGCAGGCUAGAGUAUGGCAGAGGGGGGUAGAAUUCCACGUGUAGCAGUGAAAUGCGUAGAGAUGUGGAGGAAUACCGAUGGCGAAGGCAGCCCCCUGGGCAAUACUGACGCUCAUGCACGAAAGCGUGGGGAGCAAACAGGAUUAGAUACCCUGGUAGUCCACGCCCUAAACGAUGUCAACUAGUUGUGGGGAUUCAUUUCCUUAGUAACGUAGCUAACGCGUGAAGUUGACCGCCUGGGGAGUACGGUCGCAAGAUUAAAACUCAAAUGAAUUGACGGGGUCAUAGCU
rnacentral:rRNA from 1 species